CACAAGAAGAACAGUUAGGUACAUGUUAGUUAAAGUCACAGACUGUGUGCUGUAUUAACAAAUACAUUCUGUAAUCUGUUAAAAUAGUUUAAAAGGGAUCUUUGUACAACCAAACGACUUGUGCCUUGCUAGAGGGAAGGAUUCACCUCCAUAUUAAGACACUCUUUGGGUGUCUAAACUCCCCAUACCCCAAGAUGAUUCAGCCAGUGUGGAUAAGUGUUGAGGUGUUGUUGAGGGUCCCCAGGACGAGGUGAGAGAUGAGAAUUUGACUCCAAGUUCUCAGAAGGCAGAUUUAUUAUUUUAUGAUUAUAUUAUAUUCUAAGAAAUUAUAUACUAAAACUAUACUAAAGAAAGAGAAAGGAGACAUCAUGACAAGAAUGAAUGAUAAAAAUUCGUGACUGACCAGAGUGUCCAACACAGCUGGACUGGGAUUGGUCAUAAAAUAAAAACAAUUCACAUGGAACCAAUCAAAGAUGCACCUGUUGGUAAGAAACGUCCAGACCAAGGAGGAGGUUUGCUCAGAUUCCAAGCAAUCAGAUAAUUAUUGUUUACAUUUCUUUUCUGAGGCUUCUCAGGAGAAAUAUCCUGGUGAAGGAAUUUUUCAGAAAAUACCAUGGUGACAGAUAAGAGCCUACAGCUAUUGAGCUGACCAGCUACUUGGUGAGUGCUUGGACUGAAUUCAUCCUCAGGGUUCACUGCAAGCACUGAAUUUUAUUGGACCAUAACCACAUUGGACACAUGUAGAGGAGUGUUUUAAUCAUAUAUGUUUAGACAUUCAAGUGUCUUAACCUGCAGCUGAAUCUCAUCUUGACUGUCCCUCUUUCCUUUGAUAACUUCUACAGAUCCCCAUGAACACACCUCUAUAACAAAGGUGUGUUUAAACGUAUUUUCAGGCUGACCAAAUGUACAAAUCCAUGCUACUACUAUCCAUGUAACAUGACAUAAAGCAGCAACACAACCUUCUCUGCAAGAUUUCUGCAAUCUUUUUGAGCAAACUUCACUGCCCAUCACUUUGUUUGUCCCUGUAGUGGACUGCCUUCUUUUGCUCUGACCCCUGGUCUUUUGUCUUUGUAUGACAUCCAGGAAAACAUGAGGUCUGUGAGGAUGGGCAGAGAGAAAAGACUGAAACAUCAAAAGAGCCUGAAGAGACUGACAGGAGGCUGCAGGUGAUUCACCUGGUACUGGGAAAGUAGGAGACCAAGUAUAUGAUAAUAAAUGAUUAGGAAUAAUUGGACUCUGGCCUAUCGAUAGUCUGGCUAGGAUAAUGCUUCAAUUUAAGGUUUGGGAAAAAAAACCCCAAAGGUAGAAAUUUGUGAUGGAGGACUAGCAAAGAUCACAACAAGUUCCUGGAGGAGUAUGCAGUGUUUCUGCCCAUCUUCAACACUGAGUAAGAACAAUUGCACACAGAGUAGCUGUGGGAUAGCAGCCAGGAAAGGAAGAGGGGAUGCCCUGGCCCCAGCUGCUACUUCCCUUCCUCUCUGUCAGGGAUGGGCUGUUGGGUACAGCCAGUCUAACACUCAAGAGAUGGGCAUCUCUGGACCUGGGCAUCACAAGUAAAUCACAGCCUCAGAGAGCAAUUUUGAACAACUAAGAAAGCAGCAAUAAAACUUGACCAUAAUUUGCAUUGGCCCACCUGUAUUCUGCAAUGCAAGAACCACAGGCACACCACAUGCUCACUGCCAUUAAACAAAACACAGUCCCUUACAGCCCACCCCAACCAGCUCCCACCACACACAUCAGACUGAAUCCUCAAAGAAGAAUGCAUGCUUUUCCUCACUAGUGAAACCUUCUCUUUCUGAUAGAUUGCAUUUGAACAUGUGGUUAUGUACACCUCUGUCCUAGAAAUAGCAAUGGAAAAAUUUUACCUGUACAAGCUAAAUCACAGAAUUCUUGAGCAAGCUGCCUGACAAAUUCUAAUUGGAAAUUUCAUGGGUUGAAAACCAGAUUUUCUGACCUUUUCAUAUACUGAUCAACCAAGGUCUAUUAAUGUCUCAAGAAAUCUAGCCUGAUGAGCUAAAUGAAUCUUAAAUGGAUCCUACAUGUAGUAAAUUUAAAAACUCUGUAAGGUGACUCUAUUAUGAUCUUCAAGCUCCAACUGGACUUCCUGACUUCCACAGAGCUUUAUCUUUGUAAAUCUCUAUGCUAAUUAUAUCUCUGUUGCAUGAUUUAUCAGUUUGAAGGACUAGGAUUAGUAUUUUAAAAGACACAAAAAACAUUGAAGAACUCAAUCUCCCAUUGCACCUCUCAAUUCCAGAGCAAAAGAUGAACUGCAAUGCUUGUUCACCAAUAGGGUAGUACAAACAAUUUGGAUAUGCUGCUUCACAAACAUACUUGAAGGGACAAAAAUAGCAAUCCUCUAAAUUAAAACAAUCUGACCCCAACACUUUAAACUUGGCUUGUCCAGCAACAAGUAGAGAUAUGAGAUAAGAUAUUGUACAGAUCACCAAUCUUUUUUAAAUGAGGAAAUUACAGAAUAAAAGUAGAUCACAUGUUGCACACUCAUGAAGUCCCUUGAGCCACUGCAGGAUGGUGAUCAAAUUUUUUCAGGCAUUCCUAAAUGAGUCUUCUGGAAAAAAUAUUACACAAGUGUCAUAAAAAAUUCUAAGGGAUGUAAACUGAAAAUUGAAAGGGAUUUUCUUGAAGUUAGGUAACUUUGAAAGAAUCGGAGUUUACAGCGCUCCAUAUGGCCAGCAAUUCAAAAGAAAGAGAGCAUCACUGGUAAUAACCCAUAUUUCCAGUAAACUCCCUGAAACUCCUAAGUCAUAUCUGGAAAACCCCAAAAAUUCUCCUAGAAAAGCCAGGAAGAGCUAAUUUUCCAGUAUUUCCACAUAUUUAAAUAAAUAAAUAAAUAAAUAAACAUAAAACCCCAAACCUCUUGGCUUUUUAACAUUAAAACAUCCUCCUGUGCAUACGCCCCGAGGCACGUCCUCGGCGGCACCCAGCGGGACCCUCGCAGCAACCCCGGUGCCUCACAACCCACCCCAAUCUCGGCGGGCCGCUCCCUCUAUCCCCUUCCCCUCUCUGCAGCCCGCAAUUCCGGCGGGGAACGGGUCACUGUCAUUCUUUUCCCUGCGUCCCGCUGGACCCGUGCGGAGGGCGGGCGGGCGAGCGCUCCCGCCCGGGGGCGAGGCACCCCCGGCGCUGCGCCGCACCUGCUCCGGGGGCACCCGCGGGGCUGCAGGUGCCCACGGGAGGCAGGCGCCCACAGGAAAGGAGGUGCCCACGGGAGGCAGAUGCCCACGGGGUACAGAAGCCCACGGGAAGCAGGUGGCCACGGGAGGCAGGUGCCCAUGGAAAGAGCGGUGGGAGCAGCGCGGAGCGGCGCGCAGCAAUGCCUCCCGCAGCUCCCCCACCCAACGCUGUCCCGCUGCCUGUGCCAUUCCCGAGCCGCCCUUCCCGGCAGCAGGCGUGAUGGGAAGCGGACUCUUUUACUUUCAUUCUGCGGGGAAAAGAGCGAAAAAUAAAAGCAAAACUGGGAAUUUCCCCAGCCGUCACCAAGGGUUUAAAAGGCACCGGGAAGCACCGCGCCGGCAGAGCAGGAGGGACGGCGGGGCCGACGGCUGGGAGGCAGCGGAGCAGGUGAGGAGCCAGCGCGGCCGGGGUGCGGAGCGGCGCCAGUCCGGGGCAGCAGGGUAAAGAAGCCUUGUGGAGGUCACUGGAGAGGAACUGGAUCUCAGUCAGCUCUGGCAAGACUCCUGUGGCCAGUGUCAUGGUCUCUGCUACUCCAUCUGCCGAGGUUCUGAUGCUGCUUCUUCAGCUGUGUUACCAGGGAGCCCCAGGGAGCCUCUGCACCCCAUCAGCAGGGCUGCUGUGUCACAGUGCUCAGUGUCCCUCUGCUGACUCACAACUACCCUUGCAAAAACUGUUCCUCUAAGAACAAAUCCUAAGGAGAAAAUGUUUGAGUUUCUUUUUUGUUGAUUUGGGUUGUUUUUUGGUUUUUUUUACCCAAGCCAAAUAGUCCCAACAGUGGACCCUGGUUAGAGUGAAGUUCCAGAAAGGAGCAUUUGGAAUGGUAUCCUUUACAAAGCCAUCAUGACAGUGGAAUCAUGGAACCAUUAGGUUGAGAAAAAACCUCAAGACCACCAAAUUCAGCCAUUAACCCAGCACUGCCAAGUCCAGCUCUAAAGCAUGUCCCUAAGUGCCAUGUCUGCAUGUCUUUUGAAUACCUCCAGGGGUAGUAAUGUCAUUGCAUGGCCAACUGAAACACCACCUGAAAUACUUCUUCACUGACUGUUAACUCUGCUAGUCACUGAUGUGUACUAUAAGGAAUAUGAGUUUCUGUGAUUAUGAUUAAAUUGAUUUUUACUUGUCAAUAUUCUGGUAGUCUCUGAAAUCUCAUAUUCUAAUUAUAUGCUUGAUAAAGUGGUGGGUUUCUUUUCUCUGCUUUGGACUUUUGACAUGUUUUAAGAGGAAAUGCAUCACCAAGAUUUACCAUGCUGAAGCCUUGAAGGACCAAAUACUAUUUGUGGGAUGUGCAAUUAUGGUAUUACCAGAAGAGAUACCAUUUAAGGUUUUCCACAUAUUACUAAAAGUCUUAUCAACAAAACAUUUUGUCAUUGGACAAGCAAGCACCUUAGCCUUUCUGACAGCUCUUGUUCGAGAAUGCCAUUAUAAAUUUAAGAUAUUGUAGUACAACCUCUUGUUUUUAACCUAAAAGCAACAAGAGGUUGCAAGAAAAAAGCUGUAAGCUCCACAGACUGAUGCCUUUCAUUAUCAGGAAAAGCUGACGUUAGUGUGAAUUCUUAAUUAAUACUUCAAGUCAUCUUGGAGCAUUCCAUAGUGUUUCACCCAUUUUAUUUGUAACCUCUAAUCCUGAUCAGUCAAUGAUCAGAUAUAUGAAUUAUAAAUUCAUAUAUUCAGAUAUAUGAAUUUCAGCCAAGGCAUCUUCACCAAAAGGCCAUUUAAUAAUUUUACUCUAUUAAAUAUAAUUUUAUGAAAAGGAAACACUGCCUAUAGCACACUUCCAUGUAAACAAAGCCCUAAUAAACUGGAGAGAAGGAGAACAAAGGCAGCUGGGAAGGUUCAGGAUGCAGAGUUGAUCUGCUCCUGGUGCCUAAGGCCUGGCUGCUCUCUUGUGUAACUGAUUGUAUGAACCCCUGAGCUAAAUGUAGGGCCUAAAUGCACUUAAUGAACCUUAGAGUGCAAUCAAAAAGACAAAUAUGAUAAGUCUGAAAUAUGAGGGUUUUUUUCUUCUUUGGAGACCUUUGGAUUCCUCUUCAUCUUGAUAAAAGCACCAUUGUAUCCUGCAGUGUUUGCCACUGAAACUGUGUUCCAGCCUAAUGCUGAAACCACAAAAAUCUGAGUAAUCACCCUGUUUUAUUCUUUACAUUGACCACUGUCUCUACUAUGGCAUCACUGAGGGAAAAGGAAACAAUAUUCUAAAGACACUAACCUAGGUUAGUUUAACUUAAUCUCUGGCUUCAGCCUACAGUACUUGUCAGAAAAAUAUAUUAAUGUGGGACUUUUACUGUUCUCAGAGUAGCCUUUGUCAGGAGUUUGAAAUGUCUGAAACAGGAUAAUGAAAGAAUCCUUAAAGGUCUGCUUCAGUGUUCUGAUCUUUCUUCAUUUUUUAGAGCUUUUCUGAAAAAAAUUCAGUGUGCCCUUCUGAAAAAGAGCUGAGAAACCAGUCACAUUAAACCAUAUUUCUUCUCCUGUAAACUCCCCCCUGGCUGUACUUGACACUAUCCUAUGUUGGAUUUUGCAGCUUUGGCUCUGAAACAGUGAUCAGUAUCUAUGGACCUAUUUUACAAACUUAAUUUCAGCAAGGAAAAGAACAGCAUAUUUGGAUUGAAAAAGACCUAUUACAUUCUUCCCUCUUCUCCCUCCUGUAAGCACAAGUUCAUUUCUACAGUACACUGUCUGCUUGCUCAUAAAUCUUUGCUUAAAAAUCUAGAGCUUUACAUCUCUGAGAAGACUGCAGCAGAGAAACACUUUUUCCUCACACAUUUUCCUGAGUCAAAAAUUCUUCCUAAUCAGCUGUGCACAUUGAUAUACUGUUCUACUCUACUAUCUUCUGUUUCUGUUUCUUGCAAGGAGCAAGAGGUUUUUACAAAACUUUUCCUGUUAGUAACUAUUUUCAGCUCUUACCUGUGUAGUCCCCUAAGAUAGUGAAAAUAUGGACUCCAUUUUUAUCUAAUUUUCAUAUUUUUUUCAAGAAACCCAGCACAACUAUGCUUUCAUAGUCACAAAAAUGUCUGUAAUAUGGCACAAAUAUUAUGACCACAACUUUUUAAGUAACUCACAUGUACAUAUUCUAUUUUCUUCUGAAUGCAGAAAUACUUGCUUCUGCCAAACUUUCUUUGUGAAAUGUGACACUUGCUUUCAUUGAGUAAUUUAUCCAGCUUUCUCUGAUCAUUUUCUCAUGUUCAUGCAUAUAUACUAGCAUCAAAUGCUGUUCUUGGGGUACAUCAUGUUGGCAAUAAACUAAAAUUUUACGGUU